rnacentral:lncRNA from 1 species
GUAUUGCGGCAGCCUUGAGGCAACCGGUCCCUGGCGGAUGAGACCGGUCCCCGAGCGCCUCCACGCGGGGAGAGAUCGGUCCCAUGCGGGGAGAGACCGGUUCCCGAACGUUGAAUUUUCGGGGCAGGCCGAGAGACCGGUCCCAGGUCGGGGAGACCGGUCCCUCAGUCCGAAAAUUGCCCAGUCUGGGCUGAUGCAAUAU